UAAGGAAUAUUGGUCAAUGGACGCAAGUCUGAACCAGCCAUGCCGCGUGGAGGAUUGAGGCCCUCUGGGUUGUAAACUCCUUUUAUCUGGGAAGAAAUGUACUUUUUCUUGAGUACUUGACGGUACCAGAGGAAUAAGCACCGGCUAACUCCGUGCCAGCAGCCGCGGUAAUACGGAGGGUGCAAGCGUUAUCCGGAUUCACUGGGUUUAAAGGGUGCGUAGGUGUGCAGGUAAGUCAGUGGUGAAAUCUCCGGGCUUAACCCGGAAACUGCCGUUGAUACUAUUUGUCUUGAAUAUUGUGGAGGUAAGCGGAAUAUGUCAUGUAGCGGUGAAAUGCUUAGAUAUGACAUAGAACACCAAUUGCGAAGGCAGCUUACUACACAAUCAUUGACGCUGAGGCACGAAAGCGUGGGGAUCAAACA
rnacentral:rRNA from 1 species